GGAGGAGGACAGGCUUGUCGCUGCCGGCUGGUCCGGUGGAGGAAAGUCCGGGCUCCAGAGGGCAGGGCGCUGGGUAACGCCCAGCAGGGGUGACCCUGGGAAAGUGCCACAGAAAGCAAACCGCCCCGGUUCGUCCGGGGUAAGGGUGAAACGGUGGGGUAAGAGCCCACCAGUUGCCGCGGCGACGCGGCAAGCUCGGCAAACCCCGUCCGGAGCAAGACCAAAUAGGAGGGUGCCACGGCCGGCCCGGCCAAUGCCCUCGGGUAGGUCGCUCGAGGCGGGCAGCAAUGUCCGUCCCAGAUGAAUGACAGCCGCCCGGCAACGGGAACAGAACCCGGCUUAUCGUCCGCCUCCCGUU
rnacentral:RNase_P_RNA from 1 species